GUUCCCCCAAACCCAAAUCCAUUUUUGGGUCCCCAAGACCAUUUUUUGAGGUUCUCCAACCCAUUUUGGUGGUCUCCAGGCCAUUUUUGAUACCCCCUAACCCAUUUUAACCCAAUUCCCCACCCCUUCCACCAUCCCCCUCAGGUCGUUUUGGGGUUCCCCUAACCCCAAAUCCAAUUUUGGGUCCCCGAGACCAUUUUUGAAGUUCUCCAACCAAUUUUUUGAGGUUCUCCAACCCAUUUUUGAUGUUCUCCAGGCCAUUUUUCAUACCCCCUAACCCAUUUUAACCCAAUUCCCCACCCCUUCCACCACCCCCCCAGGUCGUUUUGGGGUCCCCCGACCCCCGGGUCCAUUUUUGGGGUUCCGUCACUCACCGUUGAUGAUGGUGGGGGCCCGAAAACGCCCGGCCAACUGGUCCCAUUCCAGGAGGGCGCAGGCACCGGCGAAGGGUUGGGCCAGGGCCACCCCUGGGUGCCCCCCCAGGGCGAAGGGCUCGGCCGCCAGCGAGGCGAAGGGCAGCGACUGGAAGGGCCGCAGCUCUGCGGGAUCCCCCAUUAGCCCCCCCAAAACCUGGGACACCCCCCCGGGGACCCUUCCCACCCUGGGAGACAUCUUUUGUGUCACUAUAGGGAGGGGACACGAGGGGACCCAGAAAUUGGGGACAUAUAGGACCAGGGUGUUGGGGACAAGGGGAACCCAAAAUUGGGGACAAGAAGACCCAGAAAUUGGGGUCCAUAUAGGGCCAAGGUGUUGGGGACAAGGGGGACCCAAAAUUGGGGACAAGAAGACCCAGAAAUUGGGGUCCAUAUAGGGCCAAGGUAUUGGGGUCAAGGGGGACUGAGAUUUUGGGGACAAGAGAACCCAUAAAUUGGGGACAUAUAGGACCCAUAAUUCGGGGACAUAUAGGACCGAGAUAUUGGGGACAAGCCCAACCCAAGCGUUCGGGAACAACGGGGACCCGAAUUUUUUGGGGACGCCGUACCGGACACGAGGCAGUCGAAGU
rnacentral:lncRNA from 1 species